rnacentral:rRNA from 1 species
UACGUAGGGUGCAAGCGUUGUCCGGAAUUAUUGGGCGUAAAGAGCUCGUAGGCGGUUUGUUGCGUCGGCUGUGAAAACUGGAGGCUCAACCUUCAGAGGUCGACCGAAACCCCCUGGCUAGAGUCCGGGAGAGGAGAGUGGAAUUCCUGGUGUAGCGGUGAAAUGCGCAGAUAUCAGGAAGAACACCCGUGGCGAAAGCGGCUCUCUGGAACGGUACUGACGCUGAGACGCGAAAGCGUGGGGAGCGAACAGG